GACAAACGCUGGCGGAAUGUAUUAGGCAUGCAAGUCGUACGAACCUUCGGGUUAGUGGCGAACGGGUGAGUAACACGUGGGUAACCUGCCUCAUAGUGGGGAAUAACUCGCCGAAAGGCGAGCUAAUACCGCAUAACACCCUCGGUGAGAAUCCGAGUGGUAAAAGCUCCGGCGCUAUGAGAGGGGCCCGCGGCCGAUUAGCUAGUUGGUGGGGUAACGGCCUACCAAGGCGACGAUCGGUAGCUGGUCUGAGAGGAUGGUCAGCCACACGGGGACUGAGAUACGGCCCCCGACUCCUACGGGAGGCAGCAGCUAAGAAUCUUGCGCAAUGGGCGAAAGCCUGACGCAGCAAUUCCGCGUGGGGGACGAAGGCCCUCGGGUCGUAAACCCCUUUUGUGAGGGAAGAAGUUCUGACGGUACCUCACGAAUAAGACACGG
rnacentral:rRNA from 1 species